rnacentral:RNase_P_RNA from 1 species
GAGGCAGGUCGGGCAGUCGCGGUGCUUUCAAGCAUCGAGGAAGGUCCGGACUCCAUAGAGCAGGGUAGCGGCUAACAGCCGCCCGGUCGAGCUGUGCACUUGGUGCAUGGUUCAACCGAGGAAUAGGGCCACAGAGACGAGACUGCCACGCGGGCAUGCUUUGCAUGCACUGACACGGCCAUCUCCGUGUUGCGCAGCCGCUAAUGCGGCUGCGGCGUGGCAGGGUGAAACGCGGUAACCUCUAUCCGGAGCAACAUCAAAUAGGCAUGCGCAGGCUUAGGCCCGAAGGGCGGCUCGCCCCAGCAUGCGGGUAGAUGGCUAGAGUGGCGCAGCAAUGCUCCACCCAGAGGAAUGAUUGCCCGCCGGGCUUGCCCGGUGUACAGAAUCCGGCCUACAGACCUGUCUCACGC